rnacentral:lncRNA from 1 species
AGCAUAUUUUCUUGUUUUUCUAUAGGCCAUGUCUUCUAGUUGUUUCGGCUCAUAUUUUCUAUGUUUACUUCUUGUGUGCUCCUAAGUCAAGAAAGAAUAAAAAAUAAUAAAAACAAAAAGUCAAAUUUUCCCAAAAAACAACGAUAGCCCAAAAAAUAGAAAAAAUCAGAGGGGCAAAAGAGGAACAAUAUCUAGAGGAGCAUAUAGAGAGGUACUAAUGGAGCUGUGUAAGUGUGUGCUGACUUGUGCUUUGUUCUUGUUGGUCUUUUCAUCCAUCAUACUUGUUUCUGCAUUCUAGUUGUCACACAUAUGAUAAUUGGAAUACGUUAUACC